ACAAAUGUUGUGUCGAAUUACCCACUCAAAUUGAACACCCACUUCACAGAUGACACCUUCUCGAUCUUUUGCCAAAAGACUCUGAAGAUUUUGGCUUAUUUAGCUGUGCAUGCUGCAAUAAAUUAUGCAACGGAUUCUCCUUCAAUUGUGCGAAGUGCAAAGAAUUUUGCCUUGAUGUUAAGUGUGCUACCUUAUCAGGACCUAUCAAACAUGAAGGUCACAAGCACCGUCUUACUCCGACGAGGUUAACAAAAUUGGCCGAUUGUAGUGCAUGUUCCUUUGAGUUCAUGGGUUUUGCAUUCAAAUGUAACAUUUGUGAUUUCAUCAUGCACAGUGAUUGUGUUAUGUUAUCACCAUCUCUGAAGCAUAGAUACGACGAACACCCUUUUAUCCUAACAUAUUAUCCUCUCCAGAACCAUCCGGAUGAUUAUUACUGUGAAAUUUGUGAGAAAGAAGUAAACCCGAAGAAUUGGUUCUACCAUUGUGUAGAAUGUGACCAGUCUAUUCACGUACAUUAUCAGAAGUAUUCAAAUAUCAAGUUUGGGGCAUCCUUUAAGGUGGAAGGUCACCAACACCCUCUCAAUUUUGUUCAAUUUAGGAACGAAUAUGGCUCUCGUUGCAAUGCCUGUGGCAAAAGAUUGCACGGGUACUUUUCCAUUUCCCCUGGGUUUGAAUGUGGGUCUUGUGAAUUUAAGCUCCACCUUCAAUGUGCUUCAGAUGCUGAAAAAUUUAUCAAAACAAUCAUGGGACAUGCGUACCAGCUUUCAACACAACUGGUACUUCUAUAAUGGGUGUCUCCAUUAUAAAAGUUCCGUUCUAGUAUCUGCAAAUGGUUUGAUUUCCUCUCUCUCUCAGUUGUAUUUGUUGUUGUUUGUGGAUUACCCUGUGCUUAUGGUAAUGUUGCAAGUUUUGCUUAAUUCAAUGUUCAGUUUGAUGCUUAAGUUCCUGCAUGUGUUGGUGCCAAAAUAAUAACAUAAAUUUUAUCCGUAAAAGCAUAAUUAAGUUCUAAUCUUAGGUGUUGUUUGAUAAAAUUGAAUCCUGAAAACUGAAACUUAAAAAAUAAGUAUUGUUGAGUGAUGAAUGUUUUAAGUUAAAAAGUUAUUUGAUAAAAGUAUAAAUGCUGAAUUAAAAACAAUUGAAAUAUUCAACAAACUAAAUCUAAAUCUAAUUUAUAUAUUCAACAAAAUUUAUUAUUUUUUUUAAUUUAUAAAAGAAGUUGUGGUGGUUUGUUGGUGUUCAAAUGGUAUUGGUGUUGGUGGUUGUGGCAUUGGUAGGGGUAGUGGAGGAAUGUUAGUGGUGGUGGUGUGUUGGAGGUAGAAUAGCGGCUGUGAAGAUGAACUGCUACUCCCAGAAUCUGACCAUGAAAUUGUGGUGGUUUGUUGGUGUUCAAAUGGUAUUGGUGUUGGUGGUUGUGGCAUUGGUAGGGGUAGUGGAGGAAUGUUAGUGGUGGUGGUGUGUUGGAGGUAGAAUAGCGGCUGUGAAGAUGAACUGCUACUCCCAGAAUCUGACCAUGAAAUUGUCUUUUCUUUGAAUUUGUUGAAUGUUUUUCACUUUCUCCUCAAAAUUUAAUAUAUAUUUUUGCAAUUUGGCUUGACUAGUGGAAUUCGAAAAAUAAAAAAAAAUGAACCAAAUUAGAAAAAAGUCUACUAACGAGAAAAGAAAAAGACAAAAACCAUAAACAAAACUAACUUUUUCUUAUUUUUAAUGAACUUAAAAUAGUUUUUAGCUCCCCAAAAUCAUUCGACCCCAUUUACCCCACAUCAAAGCCACGCUUAAGUCCUAAAAGUCAUUAGUUAAUUUUAAUAUUUUGGUUAAUUUUGCUCUUUGUCCCAAACUAUGUAGAGUUAACUGUAGAUUUGUAAAGGUCAAGGUUAUGUGAUUUUGGACUAAACCAACAACCACAGUAAAAAAUUUCUCUUUAAACUAACAAGAGUAGAGCCUCUUCCUAUUUUAAUGAAAUAUUUUAGCUUACAAGGCGUAUACAUACUACACUCAGUUUUCAGGAUUCGGGGUUAUUGCGGAGAGUUCAAUCCCUGUCGGGUUGCAGGGACCCAAAACGACGUCACCAAAUUCCCCGCAAAAAACCUCUCUCCCAGUUUUCAUCCUAGUUUCCAAAAUGGGUCUAGAUCAAUUCGUACUACACUCUAAGUACAAAACAGGGGAAUCAAAUUUUCGGAUAAACCAAACAAAACCCAGAAAGAUUUUGAUUCAAUCAUACCCAUAUAAUUGGUUUCUUAGGAUGCUUCAUCAAAUUCAUAAAACAAAUAUAUAUAUGCCUAGAUAGAUAUAAACAUAGAUACAUAUAAGGAGAAAUUACCUAUUCAAUUCAGAGCUUUCGACAAAAUUCUGAUUUUAUAGAUAUACGCUGAUGGUAAUAAUGCCGGUGUCGGUCACAAUGAUGAUGCCGGUGCUAUUACCGCCAUCAAUGAAGAUGGUGACGACGACGGUAAACAUGACGCCAAUAGCAAAGACGAAAAAAAAAAUCAUGAAUGAUUUUUUU
rnacentral:lncRNA from 1 species